CAGCGGGUAUCCCUACCUGAUCCGAGGUCAACCUGAUAAGUAUAAAACAGAUUUUGAGGCCAGGGCGGCCGGUCCUGGAGGCGCUGGUUUGUUGCCCAUUCGCCUAGGAAGCCGGAAUCGCGGCCUGGCCACUGCUUUUCGGGCGCGUCCCGCACCUCCAAAGACGGGGGCGCCGGACGGUCGUCCAUCACACAAGCCGGGCUUGAGGGGCUGAAAUGACGCUCGAACAGGCAUGCCCCCCGGAAUGCCAGGGGGCGCAAUGUGCGUUCAAAGAUUCGAUGAUUCACGGAAUUCUGCAAUUCACAUUACUUAUCGCAUUUCGCUGCGUUCUUCAUCGAUGCCGGAACCAAGAGAUCCGUUGUUGAAAGUUUUAACUGAUUUUUGCUUGCUAACGCUCAGACUGACAGCUCUUCUGAAAGAAUUUUUUUGCGUCUGUCCUCCGGCGGGCGCGGUCCAGCGUUGAGCCACUAAAGAGAGGCUCGCCGAACGGCUCUCCUGAGAGAGCGCGGCCCGCCGAGGCAACCGAGUAAGGUAGACAAGAAUGGGGCGGUACGGCCGGCGCACAUCUGCUCACCCCUGACGGACGUUUGGCC
rnacentral:rRNA from 1 species